rnacentral:rRNA from 1 species
GACGAACGCUGGCGGCGUGCUUAACACAUGCAAGUCGAACGGAAAGGCCCUGCUUUUGUGGGGUGCUCGAGUGGCGAACGGGUGAGUAACACGUGAGUAACAUGCCCUUGACUUUGGGAUAACUUCAGGAAACAGGGGCUAAUACCGGAUAGGAGCUCCUGCUGCAUGGUGGGGGUUGGAAAGUUUCGGCGGUUGGGGCUGGACUCGCGGCUUAUCAGCUUGUUGGUGGGGUUGUGGCUUACAAAGGCUUUGACGGGUAGCCGGCCUGAGAGGGUGACCGGCCACAUUGGGACUGAGAUACGGCCCAGACUCGUACGGGAGGCAGCAGUGGGGAAUAUUGCACAAUGGGCGGAAGCCUGAGGCAGCAACGCCGCGUGCGUGAUGACGGCCUUCGGGUUGUAAACCGCUUUCGCCUGUGACGAAGCGUGAGUGACGGUAAUGGGUAAAGAAGCACCGGCUAACUACGUG